rnacentral:lncRNA from 1 species
CUACAAAGUUGCUGGAACUCUAGAAAAUGCAGCUGAACCAAGCCUGCCUAUCUUGUCUAUGAGCAGCUGAUUCUUUGAAUCUAAAGAAUUGAUACAGGACUUGAUACAUGUGGAAUAACAGAAAGAACCUGGACCGUGGAGUGAGACAGGCUUAGACUUGAGUUCUGGCUACACACUUGGCUGUGCCAACUCAAGGCGGCUACCUUGACAUUAUAAGGCUGAUUUUCUUCAACUGUAAAAUGUCGAUGUAGGAUUACAUGAUAACACAUGCAAAGCCUCUGGUAGAACACUCAGGGCAGCACUGCUCAUGCUUCUUAGUUGCCUUCCCCUGAUCUGGAGUGUCAAUUAAUCUUGGUUUGAGUUCCUCUUGCCCACCAGUGCACUUUGGUCCCCCAUUCAGUCAUGUAGCAAGGGGCUAUUCCUCCAGCUGUUCUUGAGUAAGCAUGGCACCUCACAUUCAUAUAGAAUGGUUACUAAUAGUCAUCCAAGUUAUUGAGAAAAAUAUUGACCACAAUGUACCACUCUCCCACUCCACUUUUUCCUAAUUAAUCUUUCCUUUGGGACUCAGCUAAGUUGUUCAUUCUGCUGGGAGUGCUCCACCCACCCAGAGCUGCCCCGAGUGCCUGCCUUGUGUUCUCUGCAUCCCCUCACCACCUUCCUUUGUGACAAGCAGCUGAGGUGUCUGUAACCCGAAUCAAUACUGGAUCAGCUCCUUGAAGAUAGAGAUUGGGUCACACAAUUAUCCUUAUAUCUUAGAGCACAGCACCUGCCUGGUACAUAGCUGGCAUUCAGAAAAUAUUAGCUACGCAAAAAUGUGUUUAAGUAUUAUAACCUUGAGUUGAUGAAACUCUGAGGCAAGAAAUAGUAUUUAUAGAGGAUUUCAUGAAAAAUGUACAAUUUAUCGAUCUCAUCAGUUCUCAGAUUUGGCUAUAUAUUAAAAUCCCCUGGAAACAUAGAAAAAAUCAGAAUCUCUGGUUGGUGGAGUCCUGUGUUGGUAUUUUGCAAAAGUUCCCAGGACUUCCUAAUGUGCAGCUAGGGUUGGAAACCACUGCUCCAGAAAAUCCACAUUUUACCACUGAAGAACUGCCUGCAUAUCCUGUACCAUUUAGGCCCUGCACUAAAGUGCCUUUAUUGAAUUAUACUUGGGCUUUGUGUCCAAUUUGACUGAACCUGGGAUAUAACUGUGCGACUCUUGUCACCGGAGAUAUGGGGAGAUGUUGUUGUCAAUGGAUCCUCUUUAUGAAGACACACCAGAGAGAUGCCUAUUGGGCAUCAGCACCAAAAAAAGGCCAUGAUCCUCCUGAGCAACCAGUUCAUGUUUGUCUUACGGAUUCCAGGAAUCAUUUAAUUAACACUAUUUUCCAGGUUUGUAGUAGCUGCUGCAAAGCUCAAGAUCAAAGCCAUGGUGCAUCUUUAUCACCUACAAAGAAUUUUGUGGUGUGUGUGUUACAUAUUGACUUGGUUCUGCAUUAUUUUUUGUCUUUUUCUCUUCACCCUCUGAUAUGGUUUAGGUCUGUGUCCCUACCCAAAUCUCAUGUCAAAUUAUAAUUCUCAAUGUUGGAGGAGGGGCCUGGUGGGAGGUGAUUGGAUCAUGGGGGCAGACAUCCCCCUUGCUGUUCUCUCAAUAAUGAGUUUUUAUGAGAUCUGGUCGUUUGAAAGUGUGUAGCACCUCCUCCUUUGCUCUCUUUUUCCUGCUGGCCAUGUGAAGAUGUGCCUGCUUCCCCUUCGCCUUCCGCCAUGAUUGUAAGUUUUCUGAGGCCUCUCCAGAAGCAGAAGCCUGUAUAGCCCACAGAACUAUGAGUCAAUUAAACCUCUUUUCUUUAUAAAUUACCCAGUCUCAAGUAUGUCUUUA